rnacentral:rRNA from 1 species
AUUGAACGCUGGCGGCAUGCCUUACACAUGCAAGUCGAACGGCAGCACGGGAGCAAUCCUGGUGGCGAGUGGCGAACGGGUGAGUAAAGUAUCGGAACGUGCCCAGUCGUGGGGGAUAACGUAGCGAAAGUUACGCUAAUACCGCAUACGAUCUAUGGAUGAAAGCGGGGGGUCGCAAGACCUCGCGCGAUUGGAGCGGCCGAUAUCAGAUUAGGUAGUUGGUGGGGUAAAGGCUCACCAAGCCGACGAUCUGUAGCUGGUCUGAGAGGACGACCAGCCACACUGGGACUGAGACACGGCCCAGACUCCUACGGGAGGCAGGAGUGGGGAAUUUUGGACAAUGGGCGAAAGCCUGAUCCAGCCAUGCCGCGUGCAGGAUGAAGGCCUUCGGGUUGUAAACUGCUUUUGUACGGAACGAAAAGGUUUGGCCUAAUAAGCUGAGCUCAUGACGGUACCGUAAGAAUAAGCACUGGCUAACUACGUGCCAGCAGCCGCCGUAA